rnacentral:lncRNA from 1 species
AUUUCUGUUUUGGAUGGGAGAACACCACAUAAGGAGCACCUGAGAGUCCGGAUGCGGAUUAUCUCUCUGCUGCCGUUCCAAAGCGAGACAAGCAUGCAUCGGUUGGAGAACUAGAACACAGACUACUUUCCCCCCAUGAGACUUCUGCAAUUUUAAAAAUUGCAACCCUCCUCUAUCAUUGUGAGGAGCAGGAAAUAAGAGACGUUGCUGGUUGCUAAUUCCCUGUCAACUUCCCGACCUUCUUUUUUCAUAUAACCCUGGUUUUCUUAACGCUUUUGUUUUGCCCAGUGAUCGCUGUUUCUCCCUUUCUUCUCCCUUUCUUCCCUUCUUCCCACCUCACUAC